rnacentral:ncRNA from 1 species
CGGGGAUAUGCGAUCUCCCCGCGAGGCGUCAUGCUCAAGAAUCGC